rnacentral:rRNA from 1 species
GACAGAGGGUGCAAACGUUGUUCGGAAUUACUGGGCGUAAAGCGAGUGUAGGCGGUUUGGAAAGUCGGAUGUGAAAGCCCCGGGCUCAACCCGGGAAGUGCACUCGAUACUCCCAAGCUAGAGUAUGGGAGAGGUUGGUGGAAUUCUCGGUGUAGAGGUGAAAUUCGUAGAUAUCGAGAGGAACACCGGUGGCGAAGGCGGCCAACUGGACCAAUACUGACGCUGAGACUCGAAAGCGUGGGGGAGCAAACAGG